CACGUAGGGUGCGAGCGUUGUCCGGAAUUAUUGGGCGUAAAGAGCUCGUAGGCGGUGUGUCGCGUCGGCCGUGAAAACCUGCAGCUUAACUGUGGGCUUGCGGUCGAUACGGGCAUCACUGGAGUUCGGCAGGGGAGACUGGAAUUCCUGGUGUAGCGGUGAAAUGCGCAGAUAUCAGGAGGAACACCGGUGGCGAAGGCGGGUCGCUGGGACGUCACUGACGCUGAGACGCGAAAGCGUGGGGAGCAAACAGG
rnacentral:rRNA from 1 species